AACGAACGCUGGCGGCAUGCCUAACACAUGCAAGUCGAACGAGACCUUCGGGUCUAGUGGCGCACGGGUGCGUAACGCGUGGGAACCUGCCUUUAGGUUCGGAAUAACUCAGAGAAAUUUGAGCUAAUACCGGAUAAUGUCUUCGGACCAAAGAUUUAUCGCCUUUAGAUGGGCCCGCGUAAGAUUAGCUAGUUGGUGGGGUAAAGGCCUACCAAGGCGACGAUCUUUAGCUGGUCUGAGAGGAUGAUCAGCCACACUGGGACUGAGACACGGCCCAGACUCCUACGGAGGCAGCAGUGGGGAAUAUUGGACAAUGGGCGAAAGCCUGAUCCAGCAAUGCCGCGUGAGUGAUGAAGGCCUUAGGGUUGUAAAGCUCUUUUACCCGAGAUGAUAAUGACAGUAUCGGGAGAAUAAGCU
rnacentral:rRNA from 1 species